UUUAGAUAUUUUACAUAUUGCUGUUAAAGGGAAACUAUAGUCCUGCAAAUAAUAAUUUUUUGAGACUAUUAGUUCCUUGUCAUUACAGUGACAUCUGUCCAUCCCCUUUUCUUUUGAAAAUGCAAAAUUAAUAUAUUUUAAUUAACUUGUUUCCUGGAAUGAGACAUUGUUUUAGUACAAUCCGCUGCUUCUUAUAGAGAAGAAAUGUGGAUGAGAAGCAC